GGAUUAAGAGCUUGCUCUUAUGAAGUUAGCGGCGGACGGGUGAGUAACACGUGGGUAACCUGCCCAUAAGACUGGGAUAACUCCGGGAAACCGGGGCUAAUACCGGAUAACAUUUUGAACCGCAUGGUUCGAAAUUGAAAGGCGGCUUCGGCUGUCACUUAUGGAUGGACCCGCGUCGCAUUAGCUAGUUGGUGAGGUAACGGCUCACCAAGGCAACGAUGCGUAGCCGACCUGAGAGGGUGAUCGGCCACACUGGGACUGAGACACGGCCCAGACUCCUACGGGAGGCAGCAGUAGGGAAUCUUCCGCAAUGGACGAAAGUCUGACGGAGCAACGCCGCGUGAGUGAUGAAGGCUUUCGGGUCGUAAAACUCUGUUGUUAGGGAAGAACAAGUGCUAGUUGAAUAAGCUGGCACCUUGACGGUACCUAACCAGAAAGCCACGGCUAACUACGUGCCAGCAGCCGCGGUAAUACGUAGGUGGCAAGCGUUAUCCGGAAUUAUUGGGCGUAAAGCGCGCGCAGGUGGUUUCUUAAGUCUGAUGUG
rnacentral:rRNA from 2 species